ACAAGACAGGUUCCUAUAUAUAAGUAUGAACACGUACAAUACCGAUAUUUAGAAGCAAAGAUCGAUUUCCCUGCUUAUAAAGACACUUUUAUAUAUUGACAGAAACGAUCGAACACCAUCUCUCUCCCUGAGCCAAACAACCAAAAAAGCAGCAUAUAUGAGAGAGAAUUUGAUACUGCGCGAGGAAGAAGAAGAUGGAUCCAAGAGGAUAUAGCGCUCGAUGAAGCUAUAUAUAUAUAUAUAUAGCUACUAUUAUAUAUAUUUAUAUAUAUAUAUAUAAAUGAUGGAUAUAGUGGUGAAUUUAAAAAAAAAAAAAAAGAAGAAAAAAAAAGGUAUUGGCGCGUCUCAAUCUAAAUACACGGCUAAGAGAGCAAUAUAUAUAAAAUUAGCCAAGUAAUUUGAUUGAGCCGCGUCAAUAUCUCCUUUAAUUACACUUUUCCAUCUCUCCAAACCUACCUGCCCUAGCUCCGGCCAACAUCCAUUUCUCCGGGUUAAGGAGUGGAGUGGAGGUAGCGGUUGGGUUUACAAUACAGGAGAGUACUGAUUGUUGACAAGUGAAAGGCAUAUUUAAAAUAUUUGAAUGAUGUGAUUAAAAUCCCCACUAUUUUUCUGCCAUUUUUGUCUUCACUCAAACAAAAUCACAAUCAAGAGACCCACUAAGAGGAUACGUUUGGAUUUGGCAAAAA